UACGUAGGGUCCGAGCGUUGUCCGGAAUUACUGGGCGUAAAGAGCUCGUAGGUGGUUUGUCGCGUUGUCCGUGAAAACUCACAGCUUAACUGUGGGCGUGCGGGCGAUACGGGGCAGACUGGGAGUACUGCAGGGGAGACUGGAAUUCCGUGGUGUAGCGGUGGAAGUGCGCAGAUAUCAGGAGGAACACCGGCGGCGGAAGGCGGCACUCUGGGCCGGUACUGACGCUGGAGGAGCGAAAGCGUGGGGAGCGAACAGG
rnacentral:rRNA from 1 species